rnacentral:rRNA from 1 species
UUAGAGUUUGAUCCUGGCUCAGGAUGAACGCUGGCGGCGUGCUUAACACAUGCAAGUCGAACGAACCUUCGGGUUAGUGGCGGACGGGUGAGUAACGCGUGAGAAUCUGCCCUCAGGAGGGGGACAACAGCUGGAAACGGCUGCUAAUACCCCAUAUGCCGCGAGGUGAAAUGAGUUUCGCCUGAGGAUGAGCUCGCGUCUGAUUAGCUAGUUGGUGGGGUAAGAGCCUACCAAGGCAUCGAUCAGUAGCUGGUCUGAGAGGAUGAUCAGCCACACUGGGACUGAGACACGGCCCAGACUCCUACGGGAGGCAGCAGUGGGGAAUUUUCCGCAAUGGGCGAAAGCCUGACGGAGCAACGCCGCGUGAGGGAUGAAGGCCUCUGGGCUGUAAACCUCUUUUCUCAAGGAAGAAGAACUGACGGUACUUGAGGAAUAAGCCACGGCUAAUUCCGUGCCAGCAGCCGCGGUAAUACGGGAGUGGCAAGCGUUAUCCGGAAUUAUUGGGCGUAAAGCGUCCGCAGGCGGCCCUUCAAGUCUGCUGUUAAAAAGUGGAGCUUAACUCCAUCGUGGCAGUGGAAACUGUUGGGCUAGAGUGUGGUAGGGGCAGAGGGAAUUCCCGGUGUAGCGGUGA